rnacentral:rRNA from 1 species
AUUGAACGCUGGCGGCAUGCUUUACACAUGCAAGUCGAACGGUAACAGGGAGCUUGCUCCGCUGACGAGUGGCGAACGGGUGAGUAAUGCAUCGGAACGUGCCGAGUAGUGGGGGAUAACGCAGCGAAAGUUGUGCUAAUACCGCAUACGUACUGAGGUAGAAAGUGGGGGACCUUCGGGCCUCACGCUAUUCGAGCGGCCGACGUCUGAUUAGCUAGUAGGUGAGGUAAAGGCUCACCUAGGCGACGAUCAGUAGCGGGUCUGAGAGGAUGAUCCGCCAAACUGGGACUGAGACACGGCCCAGACUCCUACGGGAGGCAGCAGUGGGGAAUUUUGGACAAUGGGCGAAAGCCUGAUCCAGCCAUGCCGCGUGUCUGAAGAAGGCCUUCGGGUUGUAAACUGCUUUUAUACAGGAAGAAACGACUCUUGCGAGAGGCAUUGACGGUACUGUAUGAAUAAGCACCGGCUAACUCCGUGCCAGCCGCCGCAGUAAUAC